rnacentral:rRNA from 1 species
AACGAACGCUGGCGGCAUGCCUAACACAUGCAAGUCGAACGGGAUCCUAGCUUGCUAGGUGAGAGUGGCGGACGGGUGAGUAACACGUGGGAAUCUGCCUUUUGGUUCGGGAUAACCGCGGGAAACUGCGGCUAAUACCGAAUGCCCUCGAGAGAGGAAAGAUUUAUCGCCAGAAGAGGAGCCCGCGUCCGAUUAGGUAGUUGGUGGGGUAAAAGGCCUACCAAGCCGACGAUCGGUAGCUGGUCUGAGAGGAUGAUCAGCCACACUGGGACUGAGACACGGCCCAGACUCCUACGGGAGGCAGCAGUGGGGAAUAUUGGACAAUGGCGAAAGCCUGAUCCAGCAAUGCCGCGUGAGUGAUGAAGGCCUAGGGUUGUAAAGCUCUUUUACCCGGGAUGAUAAUGACAGUACCGGGAGAAUAAGCCCCGGCUAACUCCGUGCCAGCAGCCGCGGUAAU